rnacentral:rRNA from 1 species
AAGCAUAUCAAUAAGCGGAGGAAAAGAAACUAACAAGGAUUCCCCCUAGUAACUGCGAGUGAAGCGGGAAAAAGCUCAAAUUUAAAAUCUGGCAGUCUUUGGCUGUCCGAAUUGUAGUCUGGAGAAGUGCUUUCCGCGCUGGACCGUGUAAAAGUCUCUUGGAAUAGAGCGUCAUAGAGGGUGAGAAUCCCGUCUUUGACACGGACAACCAGUGCUUUGUGAUGCGCUCUCAAAGAGUCGAGUUGUUUGGGAAUGCAGCUCAAAAUGGGUGGUAAAUUCCAUCUAAAGCUAAAUAUUGGCGAGAGACCGAUAGCGAACAAGUACCGUGAGGGAAAGAUGAAAAGCACUUUGGAAAGAGAGUUAAACAGUACGUGAAAUUGCUGAAAGGGAAACGCUUGAAGUCAGUCGCGUUGUCCAGAACUCAGCCUAGCUUUUGCUUGGUGCAUUUUCUGGUUAACGGGCCAGCAUCAAUUUUGACUGUUGGAUAAAGGCUUUGGGAAUGUGGCAUUCGAUUCGUCGGAUGUGUUAUAGCCCUUGGUUGCAUACAGCAGUUGGGAUUGAGGAUUGCAGCAUGCCUUUUAUGGUCGGGGUUCGCCCACGUUCAUGCUUAGGAUGCUGGCGUAAUGGCUUUAAACGACCCGUCUUGAAACACGGACCAAGGAGUCUAACAUGCCUGCGAGUGUUUGGGUGGAAAACCCGAGCGCGUAAUGAAAGUAAAAGUUGGGAUCCCUGUCGUGGGGAGCACCGACGCCCAGACCAGACCUUCUGUGACGGAUCUGCGGUUGAGCAUGUAUGUUGGGACCCGAAAGAUGGUGAACUAUGCCUGAAUAGGGUGAAGCCAGAGGAAACUCUGGUGGAGGCUCGUAGCGAUUCUGACGUGCAAAUCGAUCGUCAAAUUUGGGUAUCAGGGGCGAAAGACUAAUCGAACUCAUCUAGUAGCUGGAUCUGCGAG